AUGGCCGCUCCGUCAAUGCUGUGUUCCUGCCAGGGCAAGCCCGCCGGCUUCCAGCCCGGCUACCCGGGCACGGCAGGUGACCCGGCGGCGCAUUCCAGCGCUCCCAGCCGCCGGGGCCACCGCUACCGCCGGAGCCCCGGCUGCGACUCAGCCACAGGGAAGCGGAGAGCGCCCGAGCCGUCGGACGCGCAGCUCUGGAGAUCUCCUGGUCUGGCGCUUUUAAGGAGCAAAGCCGAACCCCGCAGGAGACCGGGGCCCUGAACUCAGGGGCUUCGCCACUGAUUGUCCAAACGCAAUUCUUGUACGAGUCUGCGGCCAACCGAGAAUUGUGGCUGGACAUCUGUGGCUGAGCUCCGGGCGCAACAGGGGCGGGAGCCGCAGGCACCGAGCUCACGCGGGCAAGACCCCUCGCUCGGGGCGGCGGCUGGCUGGCCCCGGCCGGGCGCGCGAAGGAGGGACGCUGGUCCCUGCCGCCAGCGCCGCCAUCCACAUCCUCGUCGUCGUCCUCCUUCUCCUCCUCCUCUGCGGGUGGCCGGUGCUGGCUGGCGGGGGCCUCCAGUCGAUCGCGUCGUUUUCCCCUUUUUCAAAUUUCGGCCGCGAACGAAGCUGGCACGCGGCGGCGGGGCCCUAAUGUGGUCCAGGGAGCACGCCCUCGGGCAGAGCCGCAGGAAGUCGGGGGCGAAAGAAGAUGCCAGCGGAAUGCGCUUGCUAACUCGUUUUGAAUUGGUUCUCACCUAUCUCCCCAUCAAUAUCCCCAAAACAAAAAAGCCUAAACCGUCCCCUAAAUCCCCAAUAAGCCGACUCCUCCGUCAGCCCUCCCAAAGAGACUGGACAGGCUGAGGCGCCUUCAGCCGCUGCAGGAGGAGGAGAAGCGUGGGGAAUGAUGCGCUCCAGCCAGGCAAUCGCCUCGGCUUUGGAAAUCAAACUUGGACAAACGAAUCCUUUUCAUUAAAGACAAAUC